rnacentral:rRNA from 1 species
GACAGAGGUGCCGAGCGUUAGGCGGAAUCACUGGGCUUAAAGCGUGUGUAGGCGGACUUGUAAGUACCUUGUGAAAUCCCACAGCUCAACUGUGGAACUGCUUGGUAUACUGCUUGUCUUGAGCCACUUAGGGGCAGUCGGAACAGACGGUGGAGCGGUGAAAUGCGUAGAUAUCGUCUGGAACGCCAAAGGUGAAAACAGACUGCUGGGAGUGUGCUGACG